ACCUGAGUGGCUCAGUUGGUUGAGCAUCUGACUUCAGCUCAGGUCAUGAUCUCACAGUUAGUGAGUUCAAGCCCCACAUCAGGCU
rnacentral:tRNA from 1 species